UACGUAGGAGACGAGCGUUGUCCGGAAUUACUGGGCGUAAAGCGCGUGUAGGCGGAUGAGCAAGUCUGCUGUGAAAGCUCCUGGCUUAACCGGGAGUAGUCGGUGGAAACUGCUCGUCUGGAGGACGGUAGAGGCUGGUGGAAUUCCCGGUGUAGUGGUGAAAUGCGUAGAGAUCGGGAGGAACACCUGUGGCGAAGGCGGCCAGCUGGGCCGGACCUGACGCUGAGACGCGAAGGCGUGGGGAGCGAACGGG
rnacentral:rRNA from 1 species